UGAAUACGAGAUGCUACGGCGUCGAAGCAGUCUAUGUCAUACUUCCAAGAAAAGCUUGCACUGUCAUAAACAAAUAAUGCCUGUACCAUAACCGACACAGGUGGGUAGGUAGAGUAUACUAAGGGGCGCGAGAUAACUCUCUCUAAGGAACUCGGCAAAAUGACUCCGUAACUUCGGGAGAAGGAGUGCCUUAUUUAUAAGGUUGCAAUAACAAGAUCCAAGCAACUGUUUACCAAAAACACAGGUCUCCGCUAAGUCGUAAGACGAUGUAUGGGGGCUGACGCCUGCCCAGUGCCAGAAGGUUAAAGAAGUUGGUUAGCAUCCGCGAAGCUGAUAACUGAAGCCCUGGUGAACGGCGGCCGUAACGAUAACGGUCCUAAGGUAGCGAAAUUCCUUGUCGGGUAAGUUCCGACCCGCACGAAAGGCGUAAUGAUUUGGAUACUGUCUCGGAGAGGGGCUCGGUGAAAUAGACUUGUCUGUGAAGAUGCGGACUACCUGCACCAGGACAGAAAGACCCUAUGAAGCUUUACUGUAACCUGAAAUUGAAAUUGGACUUUACUUGCGCAGUAUAGGUGGGAGGCGUUGAGAAUAUUCUUGCGGGAUUAUUGGAGCCAUCAGUGAGAUACCACUCUUGUAAUGUUAGAUUUCUAACUUUGUAUCAUUAUCUGGUCAAAGAACAGUUUCAGGCGGGCAGUUUGACUGGGGCGGUCGCCUCCUAAACGGUAACGGAGGCGCACAAAGGUUUCCUCUGAACGGGUAGAAAUCGUAUCUAGAGUGUAAAGGCAUAAGGAAGCUUGACUGUGAGACCUACAAGUCGAGCAGGGACGAAAGUCGGUCUUAGUGAUCUGACGGUGCUGAGUGGAAAGGCCGUCACUCAACGGAUAAAAGUUACUCUAAGGAUAACAGGCUGAUCUCCCCCAAGAGUUCGCAUCGACGGGGAGGUUUGGCACCUCGAUGUCGGCUCAUCGCAUCCUGGGGCGGUAGUACGUCCCAAGGGUUGGGCUGUUCGCCCAUGAAAGCGGUACGCGAGCUGGGUUCAGAACGUCGUGAGACAGUUCGGUCCAUAUCCGGUGUAGGCGUUAGAAUAUUGAGAGGAGCCUUCUUUAGUACGAGAGGACCGAGAAGGACAUACCUCUGGUGUACCAGUUAUCGUGCCAACGGUAAACGCUGGGUAGCUAUGUGUGGAGUGGAUAACCGCUGAAAGCAUCUAAGUGGGAAGCCCACCUCAAGAUAAG
rnacentral:rRNA from 1 species